rnacentral:rRNA from 1 species
GAUGAACGCUGGCGGCGUGCUUAACACAUGCAAGUCGAACGGAAAGGCCUCUGCUUGCAGGGGUACUCGAGUGGCGAACGGGUGAGUAACACGUGGGUGAUCUGCCCUGCACUUCGGGAUAAGCCUGGGAAACUGGGUCUAAUACCGGAUAGGACAAUGGUUUGGAUGCUGUUGUGGAAAGUUUUUCGGUGUGGGAUGAGCUCGCGGCCUAUCAGCUUGUUGGUGGGGUAAUGGCCUACCAAGGCGUCGACGGGUAGCCGGCCUGAGAGGGUGUACAGCCACAUUGGGACUGAGAGACGGCCCAGACUCCUACGGGAGGCAGCAGGGGGGAAUAUUGCACAAUGGGCGCAAGCCUGAUGCAGCGACGCCGCGUGGGGGAUGACGGCCUUCGGGUUGUAAACUCCUAUCGCUAGGGACGAAGCGUUUUUGUGACGGUACCUGGAGAAGAAGCACCGGCUAACUACGUG